rnacentral:lncRNA from 12 species
UCAGUAAGUCAUUCUCCAUCACUGAUAGAUGAUAGAUAGAUGAUGAUGAUAGAUGAUAGAUAGAUGAUAGAAAUGUGAGACAGAUUUUCUUUUUUUUUUUCAAAGAUUUUAUUUAUUUAUUCAUAGAGACGCAGAGAGAGAGAGAGGCAGAGACACAGGCAGAGGGAGAAGCAGGCUCCAUGCAGAGAGCCCGACGUGGGACUCGAUCCAGGGUCUCCAGGAUCACGCCCUGGGCUGCAGGCGGCACCAAACCGCUGCGCCACCAGGGCUGCCCUGAGACAGAUUUUCUAAGUUAUCAGUAUAAAACAGCUGGAGCUCAUCCCAUCAGAGUAUCCUUUCUGGAAGUCCUGUAUCUCCACCACCAAAGUUCUUUGGAAGAAAAUUACAUCUUUAUGAUUCAUGAAACUAAAGAGGACAAUCCUUACAUUUAUCCAUCUUAUAACUGCAAUGGCUCUCUGGAAACAGCUAAACCUAAAGCAAAUUAUGGGAACAACUAUUCUUCACAUGUUUGAAGCCACUCUUGAGUUUUUCUACACCAGAAGUUCCAAAGUCAAGCUACAUUCAAAAAGAAGCAACAAAUUGGACACCCAAAUUCUGAAGAGCCAGAUAUCCCUUAUAGCAUAGGACAUGUGCAGAUAAAUCCAAUUAUUAAAAAUUUCCUGCAGAAAAAAUAUAUGUAUGUGUGUAUUACACACAUGCAUAUGACCAUCUCAAAAGCAUAUUCUGAAAACUUUAAGAAAACAUUAUGAGUAUGAUCCAUGCUGUAAAUUAUACUUUAUUUCUCUUUCUGUAUUUAUGCCAUCAAUUAUUAUCUCUUUAUGCCUUUAGCUUUUUGUUCCUCCUACCCCAUGACUACAGAGCAAAACUUUCAUUUCCAAUAACAACUUCAUUAACUCAGCAGAGAUGGCAAAUAUUUAUCUCCAAAAUUAAGCAUAACACUUGCUUACUGAUUUAUGACAUAUAUCUUUAUAAAAUGUUCAAUUAAAUGC